CGAACCGAGCCGCUUCUUCUCCAGACCUUGGAGCUCGCCGUCAGGGAGGGAGAGGAAGGACAGAGGUGAGCGGCGCGCCGCCGCGAUGAGGGCCAAGUGGAAGAAGAAGAGGAUGAGGCGGCUCAAGAGGAAGCGCCGAAAGAUGAGGCAGAGAUCCAAGUAAUCCCAUAGGCGAUCGACUGAUGGAGGAGGAGAAAGCGUCUUUGGCUCUCACUGCUGUCAUCUCAUCUAUUUAAGUUGUUUAGUUUCCUUUAGUAAGAGAGAAAAAAAACUAAUCAAUGUACUUCUCUUGAUCUUUGUCAUGGGAGUAAUUGAUUGUACUGGACAGCAAUGUUUCCAUAAUUCUAUUACCUGGAGUUAUCUGUC
rnacentral:sRNA from 1 species